rnacentral:tRNA from 1 species
CGCCGCUUGAGGCCGGGACGCCCCCUGCUUUCAUACGGCAGGGGUCGCAGGUUCGAACCCUGCACCGCCCACCA